GAUGAACGCUGGCGGCGUGCCUAAUACAUGCAAGUCGAGCGAACAGACGAGGAGCUUGCUCCUCUGACGUUAGCGGCGGACGGGUGAGUAACACGUGGAUAACCUACCUAUAAGACUGGGAUAACUUCGGGAAACCGGAGCUAAUACCGGAUAACAUGUUGAACCGCAUGGUUCAACAGUGAAAGACGGUCUUGCUGUCACUUAUAGAUGGAUCCGCGCCGCAUUAGCUAGUUGGUAAGGUAACGGCUUACCAAGGCAACGAUGCGUAGCCGACCUGAGAGGGUGAUCGGCCACACUGGAACUGAGACACGGUCCAGACUCCUACGGGAGGCAGCAGUAGGGAAUCUUCCGCAAUGGGCGAAAGCCUGACGGAGCAACGCCGCGUGAGUGAAGAAGGUCUUCGGAUCGUAAAACUCUGUUAUGAGGGAAGAACAAAUGUGUAAGUAACUAUGCCCGUCUUGACGGUACCUAAUCAGAAAGCCACGGCUAACUACGUG
rnacentral:rRNA from 1 species